rnacentral:rRNA from 1 species
GACGAACGCUGGCGGCGUGCUUAACACAUGCCAGUCGAACGGAAAGGCCCUGCUUUUGUGGGGUGCUCGAGUGGCGAACGGGUGAGUAACACGUGAGUAACCUGCCCUUGACUUUGGGAUAACUUCAGGAAACUGGGGCUAAUACCGGAUAGGAGCUCCUGCUGCAUGGUGGGGGUUGGAAAGUUUCGGCGGUUGGGGAUGGACUCGCGGCUUAUCAGCUUGUUGGUGGGGUAGUGGCUUACCAAGGCUUUGACGGGUAGCCGGCCUGGGAGGGGGACCGGCCACAUUGGUACUGAGAUACGCCCCAGACGCCUACGGGAGGCAGCAGUGGGGAAUAUUGCACAAUGGGCGGAAGCCUGAGGCAGCAACGCCGCGUGCGGGAUAACGGCCUUCGGGUUGUAAACCGCUUUCGCCUGUGACGAAGCGUGAGUGACGGUAAUGGGUAAAGAAGCACCGGCUAACUACGUG